rnacentral:rRNA from 1 species
AUUGAACGCUGGCGGCAGGCUUAACACAUGCAAGUCGAGCGGGGGAAGGUAGCUUGCCACCGGACCUAGCGGCGGACGGGUGAGUAAUGCUUAGGAAUCUGCCUAUUAGUGGGGGACAACAUCUCGAAAGGGAUGCUAAUACCGCAUACGUCCUACGGGAGAAAGCAGGGGAUCUUCGGACCUUGCGCUAAUAGAUGAGCCUAAGUCGGAUUAGCUAGUUGGUGGGGUAAAGGCCUACCAAGGCGACGAUCUGUAGCGGGUCUGAGAGGAUGAUACGCCACACUGGAACUGAGACACGGCCCAGACUCCUAAGGGAGGCAGCAGGGGGGAAGAUUGGAAGAUGGGGGGAACCCUGAUGCAGCCAUGCCGCGUGUGUGAAGAAGGCCUUAUGGUUGUAAAGCACUUUAAGCGAGGAGGAGGCUACUCUAGUUAAUACCUAGGGAUAGUGGACGUUACUCGCAGAAUAAGCACCGGCUAACUCUGUGCCAGCCGCCGCCGUAA